ensembl:lncRNA
AGAAUAUUUUAAUUAUUCAACAACAACAACAAAAAAAGUGUGAAAAUAUAAUUUAAUUGUGCAUUUAUGGUAAACGAAAUGCUAUAAAAUUAUCCCUAGCAAGGCAAAGUAGCCAGCCAUUUUUUAUUUUAUUUUUGGUGUUUUUAUCAGGACAAGACAGUGUAGAGCAGACAGGAAGCGAAGUGGAAGAGAGAGGGGGUGGGAUCUGGAUUCGAACUCGGGACACCCGUAAUGCCUUAUAUACGUCGUGCACUGCCCGCUAGGCUAUCAGCGCCGAUGUAGUCAUCCACUUUGUUCCAGAAAUAUCAACCUGGCCAUCAAACCUGAUCUCAUGAGAAAAGGAAACUAUUUCAUGCAAUGAAAAUUGCUUAUGAAUUUAUAUGAUGUGAUUUGAAUGAAAACGUAAGAUUUUUAGGAAAAAAGUAGGCAUGAAGUCCCACCCCUAAACCUAACCGUCAACAGGGCCGAAGCACAUUGUAUAAAAAUGUACAAAUUCAUACGAAUUAGCCACCGAUUCACUAAAAUGUAACAGUUAUAAAUUGCCAAUUAAGUGUGUGUUGGAGGCAUUACUGUUUAUGACUGGCUUUUAAGUUAACUGUUAAACUUUCUUCUAUCAUACAGAUGCAGAGGUGACUAUCUUGUGAGAGAGAAUCUGGACAAAUUGCAUACACAGUCCAGUGUUGUGAGCACAUCUGGGCUACCUCGUUGCCUUUGGUCUGUGUUCCACAAAGGAAGAAGAUAACAUAUUUGGCUUUUGUGCUAAUACAACAUGGUUGCUUUCCUCUGGUCCUUCCUGAGCGGUCUCUGGCUGACGGUUGUCACAAUGCCAAGACCUGCAGGAAAUCUGCAAAUGCAAGGUACAACACAGCUGAGGAUUCAGAUGUUUGGUACUCCAUCAUGCCGAGCUCAAAACAGCUCAGCUUGAGACAUAAAAACAUGUCCCGAAAGCUCGUCCCCCGUAAACAUGUCUAACCUCACCAGGAAUUCUGUUCCAAAGAGCACAGCGUUUCCGCUAGAAGGACACUGCUAUGCUUUAACUAACUCUACAUCUCUAGAUCUAGUAACUCUGCAACCUUGCUCUGGGAUCUGCUAAGACAAGCCCAGCUUUAUCCAUCAUUAACAACAAAUAACUUGCUCUUUGAUGGUUUCCUUUGGACUUCCUCAUUCCCAAGGGUCCGAUUGGACGACAUAAUCUGUACGGCACACUCAUGUCUGCCAAGAGCUGGUUGCAAAGGAGGUUUUGUUUUUGAGGACAGAAACAGAGGGACUUAUGGUCCAAAUAUGGUCCACUUUCAUGCCAAGGGUGGGGAGAGGGGGCAGGAAAAAUCCCCCCGAAGCACAGGAUGCACAUGGACAGACCAUGACAGCUAGAAUAAAGCAGGAUAUGGAGAGAGAACGAAAGGAAGA